CUUGUUCUUUAAAUGAGGACUAGUAUGAAUGGCACCACGAAGGUUAUACUGUCUCCUUUUUCCAAUCAGUGAAACUAAUCUCCCCGUGAAGAAGCGGGGAUAAAACUAUAAGACGAGAAGACCCUAUGGAGCUUUAAACAACAUAGCACUUACCAUACAAUUUUUAAACUAACUUAUCGGGUAAUAUGACUAUAAGUUUUUGGUUGGGGUGACCACGGAGCAUAACAUAACCUCCACGUUGAAGAAAUUCUAUUUUAAGCUGAGAACCACCAAUCUAAGCAUCAACAUCCUGACAUCAAUUGAUCCAAUACUCUUGAACAACGAACCAAGUUACCCUAGGGAUAACAGCGCAAUCCACUUUAAGAGCCCCUAUCGACAAGUGGGUUUACGACCUCGAUGUUGGAUCAGGGUCUCCAAGUGGUGCAGCCGCUACUAAAGGUUCGUUUGUUCAACGAUUAAAACCCU
rnacentral:rRNA from 1 species